CAAACAUGAUUUCUGGUCUUGUCAAAUCAGUGUCAAACAGAGUAGCCGAAGAAGUACUGUAGCGGUUUCGUUUGGGUAGAUGCUAGAUGAUAUGCGCAGUACGGAUAGCUACAGAAUUCAGCUGUAUACAUUAUUAGUGCUUGGUGAUUUAAGAUAAAACUAUGGAAAUUGUAACUUCACUGAGGAAUUUGGGUGAUGGGAGACACUCCAUCCACACUGAAGAAGCAGAGAAAAUAAAGGGGCAUUACUCGGCAUGACUCAGCAGGCUCUCUGUCAUCAGGGAUUUUGCCAUAAGUGACAGUCAGCAUCUAACAGUGAAGUGUUGACUGUGUGUGCUGAUUCUGAUCAUACAGAGUGUGAGUAGUACGGAGAUGCUUCAUGAAAUCGAAUGUGAAUCCUUGGAGGGUAGACAAUAUCCUUCUCAUGGAACACUGUUGAGAAAAUUUAGAGAACCAGCAUUUGAAGCUGACUGCAAACUACUCUUCUGCUGCAAAUGAUAAAUGAUACAUGUCGUGUAAAGAUCACAAAGGCCCAAAAAUCUGCUUGAAGGGAACAAUAAGAAGUAUUAGAAGGGAAAACUAGAUACUAGAAAAACAGAUAAAAAUUAUUGUAUCUAAUGUUUUUAGUGUAAAAAUGCUGGUGAGUUACAAAAUACAGAAAGGAAAUGGUGCAAAUCAAUUGCAUUCUAAUUUUCUUUCGUCAGAACACAUUUAAAAUUGAAUCACGAUAUUUUCUUGAAUAUGCUGGAGCCAUGUUAUAAAUGACUCUGCAUAUACCCUGUAUUAUUUAAAAUGUUUGUUGAUAAUAUGUAGUACCACUAAAAAUAAUAAAUAUCCAGAAAUAUA